CUCUCUUCACCCCCCUCUCAGUCAAUUGUUCGUGCACCUGUGACGUCCUACUGCUGAACAGUGCCAUCGCAAGCUGCUAAUUCUCACAGAAGUGAGACAUCCUAGCCGUUGAGUUAGCAACAGCAGCUGUAAACGUGGGCUAGGAAAGGACGGACGACGUAUCCAGUCUAACACACAACGACGAUACUACAACGUAAUCCAAUUUACCACCAGUGACAUUCUUCUGAGGACAGGAAGAUCUCUGUUGGCCAACACGGCCAGCAUCUACGACCAACCUACCGAAGCGCAGCUCAGAUGGACCUGAGCCUAAGGACCAUGCCUCAGGACUACCUGGCCUGAUGACUCCUUGCUGUCCCCAGUCCACCUGGUCGUGCUGCUGCUCCAGUUUCAACUGUUCUGCCUGCGGCUAUGGAACCCUGACCUGUUCACCGGAUGUGCGCUACCUUAUCGCGGACCUGCUGUUUUCAACUCUGUCUCUACCACACCUGCUGUCUCUAACUCUGAAUGGUCAGCUAUGAAAAGCCAACUGACAUUUACUCCUGACGUGCUGCCCUGUUGCACCCUCUACAACCACUGUGAUUAUUAUUAUUUGACCCUGCAGGUCAUCUAUGAACGUUUGAACAUCUUGGCCAUGUACUGUUAUAAUCUCCACCCGGCACAGCCAGAAGAGGACUUUCUCCAUCCGGGCCGUCAGUUUUUUUCGACAUGGCAUCUUGCAGUCUGGUUCUAGAUAUGCCAUCAGGGCUUUGAAGCCGACAUCCUCUACCAAUGACAAUGGCUGCAUUUGAACUGCAAUCAUUUCUGUAAUCAGCACUGUGAUUACCUGUCUAAUGUCUGUUGUUGGGGGCCUGUGCUACUGCCAGCAAUGGUUUGGGUCUCACAGUACCUCCCUGUACUCUGAUUUACAUUUUGUGUAAAACCCCAUCAAAAAACGUUUUUUUCCUAGUUGUUAACGAUCCCAAUUUAUUUAAAAUGUUUAACACCCGUAAAGGACACGGAGAUGAUGGCUUGCCAGCCUUGUGACCAACCAACUGACCAAUGAAACCAUUGUCAACAAACUAGUAAUGCAAUAAAAAAUGUAAAUCAAAACAUUUCCCAUGA